rnacentral:misc_RNA from 1 species
AAGUAAAAGUCGUAACAAGGUCUCCGUAGGUGAACCUGCGGAGGGAUCAUUACAAGAACGCCCGGGCUUCGGCCUGGUUAUUCAUAACCCUUUGUUGUCCGACUCUGUUGCCUCCGGGGCGACCCUGCCUUCGGGCGGGGGCUCCGGGUGGACACUUCAAACUCUUGCGUAACUUUGCAGUCUGAGUAAACUUAAUUAAUAAAUUAAAACUUUUAACAACGGAUCUCUUGGUUCUGGCAUCGAUGAAGAACGCAGCGAAAUGCGAUAAGUAAUGUGAAUUGCAGAAUUCAGUGAAUCAUCGAAUCUUUGAACGCACAUUGCGCCCCCUGGUAUUCCGGGGGGCAUGCCUGUUCGAGCGUCAUUUCACCACUCAAGCCUCGCUUGGUAUUGGGCAACGCGGUCCGCCGCGUGCCUCAAAUCGUCCGGCUGGGUCUUCUGUCCCCUAAGCGUUGUGGAAACUAUUCGCUAAAGGGUGUUCGGGAGGCUACGCCGUAAAACAACCCCAUUUCUAAGGUUGACCUCGGAUCAGGUAGGGAUACCCGCUGAACUUAAGCAUAUCA